AACAUUAAACAUUGAACAUUGGUAGGUUCAUCAAUCCCCCACGCCACGUCCCACUGACAACUUUCAUGGCAUAGACAUACACCUCGUAACGAAACGUUUGGGAUACAUAAUUUUUUAAUACUUUUAUUGACUCAUUAACAUUUGAAAACUUUUAUUUUUCUUGAAAUUUCAUGUAUGCUCAUGGAUGCAUUGAUAUGCAUGAAUAUGUCAUGAGAAUUAUUUGUGACAUAAAACAUAAAUAUUAAAUAUCAAGUUCACAUAAUAACAAAUUUUGAUAACACAUUUCUACAUUUAACGAUGUAACGUAUGCUUGAAGAUAAAGAAGAGAUUUACUUACCUAAAAUCCUUAUAAAUUUACUUAUAGGAUAGCAAGUGGAGAUGCCCUUAGCCAUCUAGGAUUCAACAUGCCAAUGCCCUAGUUCAUCACCAUUGAUUAAGAAAGAUUUAUCCAAACUCAUCAUUUGUUGUUAUUAUUAUGCUAGAUUGAUUAAAUGUUAUCUCAUCUUGAAUAUCACUUUUAGAAUUUAACAACUAGUAGAAAAAGGCGGCCAAUUAGUUGUGACAAUACAUUUUACACUCACUCAAAUGAAGAGAAAAUUUUAAAUUUCAUAAGCUUUGAAAUUAAUUGGUCUAUUCAUAGUUCCACUAGUGUAGAACACUCUAAUGUACGUGCAGCUCUAUGCAAAACAUAGAAUUCAAAAAGAAAAGAGUAUAGAGGAAACUGUAAUAAUGAGUACAAGAAGAACUUCUAAUCGUGAGCACUACUUUUCAAAAUUUAGUAUGGCCAAAAUUAUUAAUGAUUGCCAAAUUUGCAUUGGUUGAUUUAUUAAAAGUUUACCAAAAUUAGUUAAUUAGGAGUUUGGGAUAAAUGUCAAAAUUUUACACCUAAUUACUAAAGAUAAGCAUUUUUUUACCACUUGGCUGAGAGUAGAAUGUUAUCUUUGUAGUGAGGUAACAAGCAAGCAUGAGGUGGCUAAGGCAAGCAUGAAGUGUUUAACUUAAGCAUGAGGUGUUUAGUUAAAUUUAUGAAGUGCAUCCAUGCAACCCACAUGGAGACAAUUGUUGAAGAGUCACCUUUACUUAAUCAUUAUGUCCUCUUACCUUUAAAUAAGAAAUGUUGCUACCAUUUAUUUCCCUUGCAAAAAAUAAAAUAAAAUAUCACUUGUAAGAAAGGGCAGUGAAUACGUGAGGAAAAGGGAACAAAGCCUAGCACUCUCAAUUCAUCUUUCAACCGAAUUUUUUCAAUUGAAAUUUUUUCAAGUUUUACAGUAAGAUAUUUUCUAUGCUUAAGUGGUAGGAUUUCAUGGUAAUAUUUAUGCUUAAGCUAUGCAUGAAAACCAUAAUAUGAAAGACGUGGACAAGUCGACAAAGUUAUAUAUCUAUUUACGCCUUAGGACAAGUUCAAAAGGCAUCGGCAUGCUGAAAUGUGCAAGUAUGUGUUUGAAUGUAUUCUUUUGUGUAGUACUAACAUGUUAAAUCCAAACAUGGUAUCUUACUCAGUAUUCUUUAUACUCAUAGUAUUUCAUACUAAAUUUUUAGAUUCAUAAUUGUGGAGUUGGUGGAAGCCAAUAGGCAUAAUCGAUGAUGAGUUAAGGACAAAGUUAUUUUACAUCGAAGUUUCUUCUUUGUAUGUUUUGUUUGACUGCUUUCCAUAUGUUUUUCUUAUGUUAUUAUAUAAAACAUGUAUAAGGCAUGAUGUAAUAUGGUACCGGAAGUAAAUUAUGUAAUCAUAUCUCCCAUGUUAUGUUAAGAGACUUUUAUUUUUAGACUUUCUCUUGCAAGUGAUAAAAAGGCAGAAACGGAACAGUUUUUGGGUCAACUUCAAAACAUUAUUUCUGACUCCAUAAACGUCUAUUUGAGACUCUAAAAAUAUUUUUGUGUUCCUCUUUGAGUUGUCUUAAUAUGGGCUCAAGAACCACUCAAUUUGGAUAUCCAUGGCCUGAGAUAUGAAUUUUUACGCGUUGAAGGGUCAAUCUGAACUUUCUGUGCAAUACCUCACCGUUUUCAGUAAAAUUCCCAUAUCAUAUGAUCUUAGAAUUUUUUCAUAUUUUAACUUAGAAAACUACUUGAAAAUAUCUUUCUAAUGUCGCAAAUUUCAUAGAAAACGGAGUUGGGAUGAAUUUUAUAAAAAUAGUUGAACUUGCUGCCCUAACUAACCGUAGCAGUGCCGUGUCCGUAAAUGUAAAGUAUAAUUUCAUGUUGACAUGCACUUCUGCUGGCCAUUAAAUUUUAUGAGAGAUAUUUUACGAAAUUGAAAAUAAGUUUCUAACAUGUAAUACUUUUAUUUAAGAGUGUUUACAUGUAGCGAAGGCAGCAGUUUUUAUGUUUAGUACGUGACACUCGAAACUUAAGUUUGAGGCGUCACAGCGUGGUAUCAGAGCAGUUAUGCUUUUCUGUAGACUUUUUUUUAAAAGAAAAGCUGUUGUCCUUCAUCAUCGAGCAAGCUAGCAACUGACUUCCAACCGACGAGCAAGGUAAAAACUUCUUUUUAAAGUUUAUGAGUUUUCUUAUGCAAUGAACUGCUAUAUCUAUGGUUGGAUAUAUGAAUAUUUUGAAUCAAGUCAUGGUUGAGAUUAUGAAAUCAUUAACACUUAUAUCUAAUUAUUUAUUAGAGCCUUAUAGAGUAACAUAAUCAAUUUUUGUCCUAGUUAUGGCGCGAAUGGUAAGAACCCCCACAAGGACAGAAGCUUGUGGUUUUGCGAAGAAGCGGGACAUAUUACUGGCAUUUUACUAUAAUUAUUGUAUGCAUCCGCUUCAUAGCCUUGAACAACGUCUUGAUCUACUAGAUUGCAUUGUUGAGAUGUUAUGGGAGAUACACCAUAGCAUAAGGGAUACAGUGAAGAUACGGAGGUUAUAUAAAACUGUUCCAGAACCUCGGGCUUAAGUCAUAAAUGAGAUCGUACUGUAGUCUGAUGAUGACCUUUCAUAUGAGGAUCUUACAUAAUUACUUCGAGAAAGUUAUGAAACUAGCCACGAUUUACGGCGAAACUUUAAGAAGAUUAUAACCUUAUCCAUGAAUACUAGUUUACGAGCUACCAAUUCUAGGCUAGAUAAUGGACCAUUGGCUAAGUGCUUUUCGAGAGUUCUAGAUGAAAGUUUUUCCGUACCAUUACCAGAUAGUUCGGAACAAAGCAUGUUAGAGGAAGAACCAGAGGAAGACCCAGAUGAAGGCCCCGAGGAGGAUCUAGAAGAAAUAGAAGAUUAGACACCAUCUUAUCUAGUUAUCUUUGUUUUUUGAAUAGAAUAGGACGUAAUACGUACAUCUACUUUUGAAUGUAUGUACCGUACCUUAACAUGACUUUUGUUUGUGAAAGAUAAUAAUGUAUAUAUAUGAAGGAAAUUUGUCUUGGCCUUUGGAUGUUUCUAAAGUUAGUAUUACGUCCUAAAGUAAUUCUAACUGGAUGAAUAUUUUUCAUUCAAAGGAAAUGCCUCCAAAGAGCAACUAUGGCAGUGCACCGAAUUCCAUUAUGAACUUAGGCAGCGGCAAUGCUAAUGCUAGUUCUAGUGGUGGCGAAGUUAAUGUAACAAACUUUGCACGAGAACUGCUUGUCGUAAUGCGGGAAUUGGGACAACAACAACAGGCACCACAUUUGGCUGGACAACAAACAAUAAAUCAACAAGUACCAACUAAUCAUCAGGAGCCCAACCCACCAGCUAUUCAACUUCAAAUAGUACCUAACUCGAGAGAUUGAACUGCAAUGAUAGAACAAUUUCGUAAAAUGAACCCUCCAUCAUUUGAGGGAAGUAUGGAUCCCUUGGCAGUUGAAGACUGGUUACGAGAACUAGAACGUAUCUUUAAAUUUAUAAGAUGCAAAAAUGCUGAAAAGGUAACAUUUUUAGUGUUUAUGUUAGAGAAGGGGGCUAGCCAUUGGUGGGACAUGACUACCAGGUUCCAACAGGGAACCAUGACCCUCGUGGAAUAUGAACGCAAAUUUGAGGAAUUAUCAAGAUUUGCUCCACAUCUAAUGGAUACGGAGGAAAAGCUGGUUAGAAGGUUCGAACGUGGGCUUCAACCUUAUAUUCGUGAUAUAGUGUCAGUUCUCGAGCUAUACACUUAUCGAGAAGUCUUGAAGCGAGCACACACUAUUUCUUAUCAAAGAACUCGAAACGUUGGAUAUUCUUACCAAGUUCAAAAUUUCUCCGGUAAGAGGUGUUUAACUUAAGCAUGAGGUGUUUAGUUAAAUUUAUGAAGUGCAUCCAU
rnacentral:lncRNA from 1 species